rnacentral:tRNA from 1 species
GAUGCGGUACCUGCAAUCGGCAACAGGACGGUCAUUCACCGCUUAUGUGGGUUCGACUCCCGCCCGCAUCG